rnacentral:rRNA from 1 species
CCUACGGGAGGCAGCAGUGGGGAAUAUUGGGCAAUGGGCGCAAGCCUGACCCAGCAACGCCGCGUGAAGGGAGAAUGCUCUCGGGUUGUAAACUUCUUUUAUCAGGGACGCAGCAAGUGACGGUACCUGAUGAAUAAGCCACGGCUAACUACGUGCCAGCAACCGCGGUAAUCCGGCGGUGGCAAGCGUUAUUCGGAUUUACUGGGUGUAAAGGGAGUGUAGGCGGGAAAGCAAGUCAGAUGUGAAAACUAUGGGCUCAAACCAUAGCCUGCAUUUGAAACUGGAAUUCUUGAGUGGUGGAGAGGCAAUCGGAAUGCCGGGUGUAGCGGUGAAAUGCGUAGAUAUACGGAGGAACACCAGUGGCGAAGGCGGAUUGCUGGACAGUAACUGACGCUGAGGCGCGAAAGCGUGGGGAGCAAACAGGAUUAGAUACCCUUGUAGUC